GAACCUCGGUUUGCGUGCAAGAAAGAAAAAAAUCCUUUUUUCUUUUUUUAUUUUUUUCUUCCUUCUUCUAGCCCUCACGAUCCCCUUCACAGUGCUUUUUCCGCCGCCCCCUUCUUAUGCCUCAGCCCAGCGCGCCUCAUCGUCGUCAGUCGUCGCCGCCCUCUAGGGUUUUCUUUUUCUCUUCUUUUCCGGCCAACCUCCUGCUUCCAGCUGUACGAGGAGCUGUGCUCAUCUUCGCCGUCGACCAAGCCCGCGCCUGCCGAAUCCGCCAAAGUCGCGAUCCUACUGUGCUCUCACCGGUCUAUCAACCUAAAACGACGAUCGAAUAGCCGAAGUCGUGACUCAGAGCCACCUCUCUCUCUCUCUCUCUGUUGCGCCGUCCUCUUUGUUCGCCAGCCGCCGAUCUAAACCCAAGCGCUGUCCGUCAGUCUUGGCGCGGUCGGUUCUAGUUACUGUUGAAUCGUGGUGGUUCCAUCCGAUCUGUCUGUUAAGGAAUGUGUGGCGGUGAAGGAAGUUUUCAAGUUUUCAAGUAGAGUAAGGAUUUGUUUUGGGACGGUUCGUUAUCCCGAGGUAAGUGGUUUACUGCCGGUAUUGCUCUAAGAUCUUGAUAGGCCGGCUAGUUAGAAGGAAAAUUUUUAUGUCACUGUAUGUAUGAGUAAAAUGUGCUAAAGUUUGAUGUAUGGGUAACUGUGAUAAAGUUUGAUGUAUGGGUAACUGUGAUAAAGUUUGAUGUAUGGGUAACUGUGAUAAAGUUUGAUGUUGAUUUAUGGCCUUGAUUGCAUGCUUA